rnacentral:rRNA from 1 species
UACGAAGGACCCGAGCGUUAUCCGGAUUUAUUGGGUUUAAAGGGUGCGUAGGCGGGCAGGUAAGUCCGUGGUGAAAUCUCUGAGCUUAACUCAGAAACUGCCAUGGAUACUAUUUGUCUUGAAUAUUGUGGAGGUAAGCGGAAUAUGUCAUGUAGCGGUGAAAUGCUUAGAUAUGACAUAGAACACCAAUUGCGAAGGCAGCUUACUACACAGUUAUUGACGCCGAGGCACGAAAGCGUGGGGAUCAAACAGG